UGGGGAAUUUUGGACAAUUGGCGCAGGCCUGAUCCAGCAAUGCCGCGUGCAGGAUGAAGGCCUUCGGGUUGUAAACUGCUUUUGUACGGAGCUAAAAGGUCUGCCCUAAUACGGUGGGCUCAUGACGGUACCGUAAGAAUAAGCACCGGCUAACUACGUGCCAGCAGCCGCGGUCAUACGUAGGGUGCGAGCGUUAAUCGGAAUUACUGGGCGUAAAGCGUGCGCAGGCGGUUAUGCAAGACAGAGGUGAAAUCCCCGGGCUCAACCUGGGAACUGCCUUUGUGACUGAAUAGCUAGAGUACGGUGGAGGGGGAUGGAAUUCAGCGUGUAGCAGUGAAAUGCGUAGAUAUGCGGAGGAACACCGAUGGCGAAGGCAAUCCCCUGGACCUGUACUGACGCUCAUGCACGAAAGCGUGGGGAGCAAACA
rnacentral:rRNA from 1 species